GACGAACGCUGGCGGCGUGCUUAACACAUGCAAGUCGAACGAAGUGGCGAACGGGUGAGUAAUACGUGGGUAACCUGCCCUCCUUUUUGGGAUAAGCCUUGGAAACGGGGUCUAAUACCGAAUAAAGGGGGAUGGGCUCGCGGCCUAUCAGCUUGUUGGUGGGGUGCUGGCCUACCAAGGCGGUGACGGGUAGCCGGCCUGAGAGGGUGAACGGCCACAUUUGGGCUGGGGAACGGCCCAGGAUCCGACGGGGGGGAGGAGUGGGGGAUAUUGGAACAUGGGCGAAAGGCUGAUGCAGCGACGCCGCGGUGGGGAUGAAGGGUUUCGGGUUGUAAACCUCUUUCGGUAACGAACGGGUAGGUGGAGAAGAAGCGCCGGCUAACUACGUGCCAGCAGCCGCGGUAAUAC
rnacentral:rRNA from 1 species